AUUGAACGCUGGCGGAAUGCUUUACACAUGCAAGUCGAACGGCAGCACGGGGGCAACCCUGGUGGCGAGUGGCGAACGGGUGAGUAAUACAUCGGAACGUGCCCAGUCGUGGGGGAUAACGUAGCGAAAGUUACGCUAAUACCGCAUACGAUCUACGGAUGAAAGCGGGGGACCGUAAGGCCUCGCGCGAUUGGAGCGGCCGAUGUCAGAUUAGAUAGUUGGUGAGGUAAAGGCUCACCAAGCCGACGAUCUGUAGCUGGUCUGAGAGGACGACCAGCCACACUGGGACUGAGACACGGCCCAGACUCCUACGGGAGGCAGCAGUGGGGAAUUUUGGACAAUGGGCGCAAGCCUGAUCCAGCCAUUCCGCGUGCAGGGCGAAGGCCUUCGGGUUGUAAACUGCUUUUGUACGGGACGAAAAGGCUCUGGUUAAUACCUGGGGCUCAUGACGGUACCGUAAGAAUAAGCACCGGCUAACUACGUGCCAGCCGCCGCGGUAA
rnacentral:rRNA from 1 species